rnacentral:rRNA from 1 species
AUUGAACGCUGGCGGCAGGCCUAACACAUGCAAGUCGAGCGGAUGAGGGGAGCUUGCUCCUGGAUUCAGCGGCGGACGGGUGAGUAAUGCCUAGGAAUCUGCCUGGUAGUGGGGAUAACGUCCGGAAACGGGCGCUAAUACCGCAUACGUCCUGAGGGAGAAAGUGGGGGAUCUUCGGACCUCACGCUAUCAGAUGAGCCUAGGUCGGAUUAGCUAGUUGGUGGGGUAAAGGCCUACCAAGGCGACGAUCCGUAACUGGUCUGAGAGGAUGAUCAGUCACACUGGAACUGAGACACGGUCCAGACUCCUACGGGAGGCAGCAGUGGGGAAUAUUGGACAAUGGGCGAAAGCCUGAUCCAGCCAUGCCGCGUGUGUGAAGAAGGUCUUCGGAUUGUAAAGCACUUUAAGUUGGGAGGAAGGGCAGUAAGUUAAUACCUUGCUGUUUUGACGUUACCAACGGAAUAAGCACCGGCUAACUUCGUG